GUCGAGAAUCUUUUCCAAUGGGCGAAAGCCUGAGAAUGCGACGUCGCGUGAGGGAUGAAGCGUUUCGAUGUGUAAACCUCUUUUAUCAGGGAGGAAUACCUAGAGGUGAACAGCUUCCUAGGUUUGACUGUACCUGAUGAAUAAGUCACGGCUAACUCCGUGCCAGCAGCCGCGGUAAUACGGAGGUGGCUAGCGUUACUCGGUUUGACUGGGUGUAAAGGGUCCGCAGGCGGUCAUCUAAGUAGAAAGUUAAAUCCUUCGGCUUAACCGAAGAAGCGCUUUCUAAACUAUUUGACUCGAGGCUGAAAGAGGAGAGCGGAACUGCUGGUGUAAGGGUGAAAUCUGUGGAUAUCAGCAGGAACGUCUAUGGCGCAAGCAGCUCUCUGGUUCAGUCCUGACGCUCAGGGACGAAAGCUAGGGGAGCAAACAGGAUUAGAAACCCGUGUAGUCC
rnacentral:rRNA from 1 species